CAGCCGCCACGGUAAUACAGAGGAUGCAAGCGUUAUCCGGAAUGAUUGGGCAUAAAGUGUCUGUAGGUGGCUUUUCAAGUCCGCUGUCAAAUCCCCGGGCUCAACCCCGGACAGGCAGUGGAAACUACCAAGCUGGAGUACGGUAGGGGCGGAGGGAAUUUUUGGUGGAGCGGUGAAAUGCGUUGAGAUCGGAAAGAACAGCAACGACGAAAGCACUCUGCUGGGCCGACACUGACACUGAGAGACGAAAGCUAGGGGAGCAAAUGGGAUUAGAUACCCGGUAGUCCCUGUCUCUUAUACC
rnacentral:rRNA from 1 species